rnacentral:misc_RNA from 1 species
UCGCGGCUUAUCACCGGCAGUCCCCUUAGAGUGCCCAACUAAAUGAUGGCAACUAAGGGCGAGGGUUGCGCUCGUUGCGGGACUUAACCCAACAUCUCACGACACGAGCUGACGACAGCCAUGCACCACCUGUGACAGUGUCCCGAAGGAAAACCAUGUUUCCAUGGCGGUCACUGACAUGUCAAGCCCAGGUAAGGUUCUUCGCGUUGCGUCGAAUUAAACCACAUGCUCCGCUGCUUGUGCGGGCCCCCGUCAAUUCCUUUGAGUUUCAGCCUUGCGGCCGUACUCCCCAGGCGGGGCACUUAAUGCGUUAGCGCCGGCCCUCGGGGGGUCGCUCCCCCAAGCGCCUAGUGCCCAUCGUUUACGGCGUGGACUAC